rnacentral:lncRNA from 1 species
GUGACAGAUACAUUAAAAGUGAAAAACAAAAGAAUGGAAGGCAGGUUGAGAGUCUGGGUAACGAACAACCGAAAUGAGGCAAACUCCGCUGCUAUCCCCGAAGUACCAGUUGAAGAAUUUGAAGCCUUCUGCAGGUCGCAUUCAAAAGAGGCCAUUCUCGUUUGGAAUUCUUGCUUCAGUUCUUCAAUAGUCGACCUCAAUCCAGAUUCCAUUGUGAUGUGAUGGUGUAAUGAGUGAAGUGUAGCAAGUUAAGGAUAAUGUAGGAGAAAUACACACUAAACCCGGCAGGUAGACAGUUUAGUCAAUAGUAGUAGACAUAAAAUACUGAAAAAUACUGUCUUUUACUAAUUUAUAUACUACUAUUUAUAUACUAUUUAAAUUAAAAGUAGAGCAAAACCAAA